CGCCGGUGAGUUCGCUCAUUCGAGUCUUCUUCAACAAGGAGAGCUAUAAUACCUAUUGCAGUUGCUCCGGGAGGCACAUAUUUUAAUUCAACUUUGGUUCUGACAUAAUGAGAAAGUGAAGGUAGAGAGGCCUGCACCACGAGGAAGCCCAGAUUCUUCUUCUUCGUUAUGUACUCGAUAACCGUAUUAACCAACACCCAAUUGUAGUCGUAGCUCCCCUGUCAAGGAGGAAGAGGGAAAACUGGGGAACGGAGAAAACAGGAGAGAACACGGCCAGAAAGCAGACCAUACAAAUGCUGGUCAAUGCAGGUAAAGACACCAAUAAGCCUCCAAAGGACUCUUCGUUCUCUCCUGCAACUGUCCUCUACUGUAAACCACUUGAAGCAAAUCCACUGUCGCCUUCUCGUCCUCGACCUCCACCAAGACCAAUUCCUCAUAACCAAUCUCAUUACUGUCCUCUCCCAACGCUUUCGAGCUAUCAAUUAUUCCUUCUCCAUCUUCACCCACACCCACAAUCCUAACACUUUCCUUUUCAACGCCAUGAUUCAAGCUUUAUCUGAAACACCCGGGUUUCAAAGCAAUGCCAUUCAACUUUAUAUCCUCCAAAUGCGCUACGGAACUGAACCCACGAGAAGACCCAACCGCUUCACAUUCCCCCCAUUACUUAAGGCUUGUGUUGCCACCUUCCGUUUGGUAAAACCCAUACAGGAAAUACAUGCUCAAGUAACCAAGUUCGGAACUUACUCAGAUGUCUAUGUUGGAACCACUUUGCUGGAUUCAUAUUCUAGAUAUAGUGAGGUUGAGUUCGCACGAAGGGUGUUUGAUGAGAUGCCGAUUAGAAAUGUAGUAUCUUGGAAUUCCAUGGUUUCGGGGUUGGCAAGGUGUGGGGAAGUAUGUACUGCGAAGGAACUAUUUGAAAGGAUGCCCGAUAAGAAUUUGGUUUCUUGGACAAGCAUGAUCUCAGGCUAUGCACAAAAUGGGUAUUUCAAUGAGACCUUGGCAAUGUUCGAUGACAUGGUUGCUUCAGGCGUGAAGCCAAAUGAGAUUACUUUGGUAAGUGUCUUAUCGGCUUGUGCAAAUCUAGGUGCGCUUGGACUUGGGAAGAGGAUACAUUCAUUCUUGGAGGAUAAUGGUUAUGGGUUGGAUUUGUUUCUGGGAAGUGCUCUAAUAGACAUGUAUUCAAAGUGUGGUAUGACAACUGAGGCUCUUCAAGUAUUUGAUAGGAUGCUAGAGAGGAACGUGGUUGCUUUCAGUGCAGUGAUUGUGGGCUUGGCAAUGAAUGGUAGGGGACUGGAGGCUAUUAGGAUCUUUGAGGAUAUGAGGUUCCAAGGAAUGUUACCCAACGAUAUUACCUUCAUUGGUGUGCUAUGUGCUUGCUGUCAUGUGGGUUUGGUGGAUAAGGGGCAAUAUUAUUUUCAUAGCAUGACAAGGGAGUAUUCUAUAGUUCCCAAGCUCCAACACUAUGCAUGUAUGGUUGAUCUCCUUGGCCGAGCUGGCCUUCUUGAUCAAGCUUACCAAUUCAUCACAGAGAUGCCUAUCAAGCUAGAUGUUGUGGUAUGGGGAGCCUUGCUUGGUGCUUGUAGGAUCCAUUGUAACUUUGAACUGGGUGUACAUGCUGCACACAAGAUUUUAGAGCUAGAUCCCCAACAUUCUGGAGGUUUUGUUUUUUUGUCCAGUGCAUAUGCUAGGAGUGGAGAUUGGGAUGCUGUGAAAAAGGUGAGAAUGAUGAUGGAAAAAUCAGGGAUGAAGAAAACACCUGGGAGAAGUUGGAUUGAAAUAAACAACAUUGUCCAUCAGUUCUUUGCAGGAGAUAAGUCCCAUCCCCUUAGUGACAAGAUUUAUAUGAAGUUGGAUGAGUUGGCCAGGCUGAUGGAGUUUGAAGGUUAUACACCUAAUGUGGAGUCUGUAUUUUAUGACAUAGAAGAGGAAGAGAAAGAACAAUCAUUAAAUGUUCAUAGUGAGAAACUAGCUAUUGCCUUUGGGCUGCUCAAUAGUCCUGAAGGAACCCUCAUUAGAAUUGUGAAAAAUCUCCGGGUUUGUGAUGAUUGCCAUUUUGCUAUAAAACUGAUCUCAAAGAUUGUAAGGAGGGAUAUAAUAUUAAGAGAUAGCAACCGUUUUCAUCAUUUCACUGGAGGGACAUGUUCUUGCCAAGACUAUUGGUGAUAAAGAAUGAAAAUCUUUGUGAGCGACUUGCCCAUGGAUACCCUUUUUUAGAAGCAGAGGUUGCAUAUUGUGCUUGGCAUGAGUUCUGUGAGUCUGCUGUGGAUUUCAUUGCUAGGAGAUCCAGACUUGCUUUUCUUGAUACUGAUGCAGCAGGCUUGCCACAUGUAAUUCAAAUAUUGGCUGCUGAGCACAAGCGUGACAAAUCAAGGCAGAAGCAAGAGCUACAGAAGGCAAGGCAAUUCUUGGAAGCUUUUAAGUCAUGUAAGAAUACUCAAUUCCAUGAUGGAAAGCAUACAGUCAUUCUAAGAAGAAGAAGAAGAAGAAGAAGAAGGGAGUGGAGAUGAGCAACACCACCAACAUCUGUAUCACAGUUGCAAACGAGUAUAAACACAAGCAUUGAUAUCCCUUGAGCCAAGAAUUGAACUUGCAGGCCUAAAAGAAUGAAGAUAUGAAAGAGACUAGCCAACCGGAGGGUACCAGAAAUUUGGUUCAAAGUAGAAUUCAAGAGCGGAGUUGAAGGAAGAGAGUUCUCUAUACAAUCCCAAUGAUGGGAUGGUGUCACGGGGGUAGUUCUACAGCAGAAGAAACCUGUGUGGCGUCCAGGCCAAGGCAGGCCGGGACAUGCCUUUUGUAUGCUUAGGGCUAGGAGUUGCCCAAUGAUGGCUCCACCAGUCAGUGGCAUUGGAUCAUGACCUCAAGUCGCAUGACCGGGGCUCUCGAUUGGCUCUUGCCGGUCCAUGGGAGGCGCCUCUUACAUGCUAAAGGGGGAAUACCAUGAUGUGAGGUGACUUGGCGCCAAUGUGAAGGGUCUCCUGUAUGCCGAUGAUGUAGGCACCCGAUGUGCCAUUGAUGAUAGGCAACCGUUGGGCCGGAACACACCCGUGCGUUAGGGGCAACGGGAUAGCUCAUUCAACAAGCAAGGCAUUGGCGUGGUGAAGGGUCAUGCUUAGGCCAGGCCCGCAUGCCAAGCCUCCCUUGAGUGUCGGUGGCGCAGUGCCGGUCUAUGCAUUGUCCCCAUGAGGAACCCUAUAGUCAUGCUAGCCAUUAACCAAGGCUGCCCCGCAAGGGAUGUUGGUCUAUGAGUGCCAAGGUUAAGCACUUAAGGAGGUCAAUCACCCCUCCUCAAAGAAUAUGUUAAGCUUUUGGUGGUUUGCCUGAAGAUGACAUGAAAUUUUCCAAUAAUCUUACUGACAAAAAUGACGGUGAUGCCUCUUAACGUAAGUCUGCCAAGCAUAGGCAAGGCUAAGCCUGUGUCAGACCGUGACAAUGGGGUGCUUCCGAUCCGUCCUAUCGCCAGAAAAAUUAUAGACAAAGCAAUGGCAUUACUUGGGUUGGUGAAUCAAACUCCAAUGAUGACAGUUUGGAGAAGCUCAUUUGCCAUUUUUAUGCAUAUAGUAUUUAGUUAAUGGAAAUGGGACUCAACCUAACUUUUGGCUGCCUGCAUCUGCUGCAUUAAUUACUUGGUUUUGCAUUUGCAUCGAUGCUCACAAUAUACCGUGGACUGGCCAAUGAAGAAGUCAUCGAAUUGAAGACCACGUUGCAGUGGUUGUGGUUCAGAUCAUCUCCAACUUAUUAGAGCCAGCUACCCUUUAUAUCGAGGGUUUUGCUACUGUCGCACUGUAUUGAGUAUUGAGAAUGUGUGGUAUGUUUUUGAAAAUUUGAAGAAUAAUAAAGGGUAAAUUUGACAUUUUCAUAUAUCUGUUAGUGUUCAGUUAUGAAAUAAAUUAAGGGUAUGGGUUACUUUUAAGGAAUUUGUGCAAAUCGUAGGGAUA